UCUUAACUAAUUUUCCCCGAUCUAUUGGUCAAUAAAGUCGGCACAAGUUAAAUCUAAAAGAAUUCACAGGAACUAACCCCAAUACCCUAAAAAAUCAAAUAUGUUCAACCAAAAAGAGAUUUGGCAAAUGCGCAGUAUUUUCGAACUGCUCCGUUGUGUCAUCCGUGUGACAGACAAUGUGAACGUGAUGUCGUCCUCUAGUAACUUCUGGAAAAGCAGUGAAUUUCAAAGAGUGAAAAGUGGAAAAACAACGCAUUUUCAUCAAGGGAUCAUCUGAAAAAUGAGCAAAACAGUAAUAAGAAUAAAAACAAGAACAAGUCUGCUGUUGCAGGACAAAAAAUGUUUAUAAAUCGUCCGAUUUAGGCAAACUUUUAUUUCCUUCUAAAUCGGGGCGCGUAGCAGCUUUCUCCAGUCCUGUGCAUCUUUGUUCCAAAUACCAUAAAAUCACGUGGUACCAAACGGGCCGACGAUGGUAAACAACACGAUUCAAUGACUGAGGAAACGGCCAAUUUCACAUUAAGAUGGUUGCGAUCCCCAUACAACAUUGUAAACAAUUAUAUCCGAUGGCGUUGAUUAUCAUGUGCCCGAUCGAAGGACCGUUGUAAAUACUAUUUAUCUACCAUUGCACGAUAUUACAGUUAUUAUGAGUG